UGUAUGGUGUGUGUGUGUUUGGAAGAGGAGUAAAGAAGAGUGCAAUGUGGCACUUGGGGAAAGGACAGAGAUGCUGCAGGGAGAUAUUUGCUGAUAUUUUUGCUUUGAGGGCUGCAGUGUAACCCUCUCCUAUCUUCUACUUUCAAGAAAAUAAAGUUUUCAGAGAGGCUUCACGGUUGACCAAGGGUCUGUGUGAGCUGGAAGUGCAGCCUGGGGCUGUGCCAUGGCAGAGUGACACCGGAGGAGCAGGGGAGGUUUGAACAUAAGGGUUUUACAGCACCAAGAAACCUUAGCUCCAUUAUCUUACACUUGGAGGUCUCUCACGGAUAAAUCAGCUGCUUUUCAAAAUAGAAGAGACUUAUGAAAAUGUAUCACUUGGCAGACAUAGAAAGCAGCUGCUUAUCAUCAUUAAUUUUCAAUAAAUAUGUAUUAAGCAACAGGAUAUAGAUCACUCUGUGAGGUUCAGGACCUUGGGAAAAUACAGUAUCCUAGAGACAGCAUUAACACAAGGCACGACUCAAGGCCGCUCCUGUCAUCUACACCCCUCCCGCUCUGCACGGCUGACUCAGAGCCUCCUGGCCUGCGGAGGAGCAAGAGGCACUGCACAGGCCACAGCGGGUUGUGAUCCAGGAGAGGCCAUUGGUUGGGGCGGGGGGAUGUUAAUUCCUCUGAGGUUGUGGGCAGGGGAGAUUUUCUUGGAGGACAUUCAUUUCCCAGUGGGGAGGGAAGAUUGAGACUAUAAUGUCUCUAGGGAAAUUUAAUAAUUAAGGAAGGUCCACAUGAUGGAACUGUGGGCCAUUUUCUAUUUCAGGCCUUAUGGUUAUUUUGCCUUUACCAUAGGGCGGUGCUUAUCACCAGCAAGACUGACCAACAAACCAGCUGUGGAGGGAAAUUGAGAGUGGGCUCCCUGCUGAAGACAGUAGACAUGGCCAUCAAUUAAUGUCCUGUUUUCUCCCGUGCAGAGCCUCUCAGGGCCAAAGCUGGAUUGUACCGGGCUGGGAAAACAAAAAAUAAAUACAUGGGGAGAGAAUGUUGAGGGGUGACUUGCUAACCAGUCAGUUGAAUUCCAGGCACAGAUUGAGUUGCUUCUGGAGUGGGCAGGGUCACUGUGAACGCCUACGUGAGCCUCUUCUGCACCACACAGCAGAAACUUAUUGAAAUUGGCAUCUUUGGGAGCUCGCUGUCAUCUCUUCACAAAACAUCCCCACGGAAAGCCAAACUUUCCCUUAGCAAGCGUGGCAACGUCCCAGAGUGCAGCCUGGAUCCCGUCAAGGAUAUCACAUGAUACUUCCUUGUCAUGUUUCCUUAGGCUCAUCUUGACUGUCCAUUUCUCAGACCUUCCUUGAUUUUGGUGACCUUGACAAUGUUGAGGAACAGUGGUCAGAAGUCACCAUGUGCAGCCUACAUUUAAUGAGUGGAGAGUUAUGCCCCGCCUCCUGGAGGAUGAACUAUCUACAUAAAUUAUUUGAAAUUCUUUUGCAUGGAAUAUUUUCUUAAUGUUAUUGUGAAAAUAAUUUUGACCUUGCAGAACCAUGAAAGGCUGUUCGGGAAAACCCCCAGAAGUCUGUAGACCAUACUUAGAGAAACACCAUUCCAUGCAAUGGAGGCAGGGGUGGAUGUGUCUGGAACCUGGGCACUAUACUUGCGUGUACCUUGAUGCUUCCAGGAUUCCCUAGAAAUCACUGUGGAAGGAUUAUUGCAGCCACUAUUGCUUGACAAGGGCUCAGACCCCUCAGGGUUACAAGUUUAAGUCCCUCAACCAGGCAAGCAACCCAGACCCAGCAAAGUGUGUUUGAAAGGUAGGAAAAUGUAAAUUGAGGAAAAGAAAAAGGAGAUAUGAAUAUCAGUUCGGUCUUACUCAUCUGCAGUUUCAGUCACCAUACAUUAUACCAGUAACCCUCUUGGGUUAAGUCAACAGAGAUUGGGUAUGGCCAGCAUAUUUGAGUGCACUAUGUCUCAGAUUGCACUAGUUCUCCCCCUCUCCAAGGAGGAGUGAGGGCAUAUUGUUCUCAUAAUCAAUGAGAUAACAUUUUUAGAACUGGAACCAGAUAUAAUAUAGGGCAUCAGAUGAUAUGAGUGAUCUAGAUGGUGGACGCUCAGACACCACUUACACACCCAUCUCCAAUUCCAGAAACCAAGUGAUGGCAGCUUUGUGUGGGGCUAAUCAGCUUCAUCCAAGUGCAGUCUUCAUCUGAGUGCACCCUGACAGUGCCUUGUUCAGAUCUGCUCACACGUCUCUUGGCUACCAGCCUGUGACUUCUGAUAAUGCCAGGGCAUGGGAUGCCACAGGAACCCCUUGGUGCCCACAUAUACAUGACUCAGUUGUGCAGGAUAGUUAAUGCUCCACUUGAAAGCUCUUUAAACAAUGGGAGAAAGGAACCAAUAAAUAAACGUUUCCUACCCCACGCCACA